ensembl:snRNA
AGGUUAUAUGAAAGGAGAGAAGGUUAGCACUCCCUUGACAAGAGGCCCUCGGGCAUGACAACAUACAUAUAGUUAAAGCACUGCCACCUUCUUCAUGGGGUCUAACCUCUGUUU